rnacentral:lncRNA from 1 species
CAUAAAGACUAGAAAAUUAAUUCAAAAUUUUGGUAUAAAAUUCAACAUUCGAAGAGCCAAAUACAUCAGUUUGUUGUAUACAAUCAUGUUAUCAACAGCUGGAACAAUGUUUAAUAAGGUAUUUCGCCUUUUCGCCUUGGUAUUGGCCGUCAUAAUGGCUGCUGUCUACCAGGUCCAACCAGUGGAGUCCAAUUACGAAGAACAGCCUAUCGCAGUUGCUUCGUGGAAAAGAAGACGUGGAUCUGGAGGUGGAGGAUGGUGGGGUUAAGCCUUACUCCUUGCUGUUGGGAAGAUAAACAAAUUUUGUCUGGUAUAUGAAAUGUGAUUUCAUAUAGUUUUUGUUCUUUUGUACUUUUUUAUUGUAUAUUUUGUUAUAAUUAUUUAAAGUUUAAAAUAAACUUUGUAUAUAGUAAA